rnacentral:rRNA from 1 species
GAAUGCUGACAUAAGUAACGAUAAAGCGGGUGAAAAGCCCGCUCGCCGGAAGACCAAGGGUUCCUGUCCAACGUUAAUCGGGGCAGGGUGAGUCGACCCCUAAGGCGAGGCCGAAAGGCGUAGUCGAUGGGAAACAGGUUAAUAUUCCUGUACUUGGUGUUACUGCGAAGGGGGGACGGAGAAGGCUAUGUUGGCCGGGCGACGGUUGUCCCGGUUUAAGCGUGUAGGCUGGUUUUCCAGGCAAAUCCGGAAAAUCAAGGCUGAGGCGUGAUGACGAGGCACUACGGUGCUGAAGCGACAAAUGCCCUGCUUCCAGGAAAAGCCUCUAAGCAUCAGGUAACAUCAAAUCGUACCCCAAACCGACACAGGUGGUCAGGUAGAGAAUACCAAGGCGCUUGAGAGAACUCGGGUGAAGGAACUAGGCAAAAUGGUGCCGUAACUUCGGGAGAAGGCACGCUGAUAUGUAGGUGAAGCGACUUGCUCGUGGAGCUGAAAUCAGUCGAAGAUACCAGCUGGCUGCAACUGUUUAUUAAAAACACAGCACUGUGCAAACACGAAAGUGGACGUAUACGGUGUGACGCCUGCCCGGUGCCGGAAGGUUAAUUGAUGGGGUUAGCGGUAACGCGAAGCUCUUGAUCGAAGCCCCGGUAAACGGCGGCCGUAACUAUAACGGUCCUAAGGUAGCGAAAUUCCUUGUCGGGUAAGUUCCGACCUGCACGAAUGGCGUAAUGAUGGCCAGGCUGUCUCCACCCGAGACUCAGUGAAAUUGAACUCGCUGUGAAGAUGCAGUGUACCCGCGGCAAGACGGAAAGACCCCGUGAACCUUUACUAUAGCUUGACACUGAACAUUGAGCCUUGAUGUGUAGGAUAGGUGGGAGGCUUUGAAGUGUGGACGCCAGUCUGCAUGGAGCCGACCUUGAAAUACCACCCUUUAAUGUUUGAUGUUCUAACGUGGGCCCCUUACCGGGGUUGCGGACAGUGUCUGGUGGGUAGUUUGACUGGGGCGGUCUCCUCCUAAAGAGUAACGGAGGAGCACGAAGGUUGGCUAAUCCUGGUCGGACAUCAGGAGGUUAGUGCAAUGGCAUAAGCCAGCUUGACUGCGAGCGUGACGGCGCGAGCAGGUGCGAAAGCAGGUCAUAGUGAUCCGGUGGUUCUGAAUGGAAGGGCCAUCGCUCAACGGAUAAAAGGUACUCCGGGGAUAACAGGCUGAUACCGCCCAAGAGUUCAUAUCGACGGCGGUGUUUGGCACCUCGAUGUCGGCUCAUCACAUCCUGGGGCUGAAGUAGGUCCCAAGGGUAUGGCUGUUCGCCAUUUAAAGUGGUACGCGAGCUGGGUUUAGAACGUCGUGAGACAGUUCGGUCCCUAUCUGCCGUGGGCGCUGGAGAACUGAGGGGGGCUGCUCCUAGUACGAGAGGACCGGAGUGGACGCAUCACUGGUG